UACGGGGGGGGCAAGCGUUGUUCGGGAUUACUGGGCGUAAAGGGCUCGUAGGUGGCCAACUAAGUCAGACGUGAAAUCCCUCGGCUUAACCGGGGAACUGCAUCUGAUACUGGAUGGCUUGAGUUUGGGAGAGGGAUGCGGAAUUCCAGGUGUAGCGGUGAAAUGCGUAGAUAUCUGGAGGAACACCGGUGGCGAAGGCGGCAUCCUGGACCAACACUGACACUGAGGAGCGAAAGCCAGGGGAGCAAACGGG
rnacentral:rRNA from 1 species